GGAAGUAAAAGUCGUAACAAGGUCUCCGUAGGUGAACCUGCGGAGGGAUCAUUACAAGUGACCCCGGUCUAACCACCGGGAUGUUCAUAACCCUUUGUUGUCCGACUCUGUUGCCUCCGGGGCGACCCUGCCUUCGGGCGGGGGCUCCGGGUGGACACUUCAAACUCUUGCGUAACUUUGCAGUCUGAGUAAACUUAAUUAAUAAAUUAAAACUUUUAACAACGGAUCUCUUGGUUCUGGCAUCGAUGAAGAACGCAGCGAGAUGCGAUAAGUAAUGUGAAUUGCAGAAUUCAGUGAAUCAUCGAAUCUUUGAACGCACAUUGCGCCCCCUGGUAUUCCGGGGGGCAUGACUGUUCGAGCGUCAUUUCACCACUCAAGCCUCGCUUGGUAUUGGGCAACGCGGUCCGCCGCGUGCCUACCUCGGCGAGGCCUCACCGGCUUUAGGCGUAGUAGAAUUUAUUCGAACGUCUGUCAAAGGAGAGGAACUCUGCCGAUUGAAACCUUUAUUUUUCUAGGUUGACCUCGGAUCAGGUAGGGAUACCCGCUGAACUUAAGCAUAUCAAUAAGCGGAGGA
rnacentral:rRNA from 1 species